rnacentral:tRNA from 1 species
GGAGGGCUAGCCUAAUGGUAAGGCACCGGUCUUGAAAACCGGCGCGCAGAGAUGCGCAUGUGGGUUCGAGUCCCACGUCCUCCG